rnacentral:rRNA from 1 species
GGAGGCAGCAGUGGGGAAUAUUGGACAAUGGGCGAAAGCUUGAUCCAGCCAUGCCGCGUGUGUGAAGAAGGCCUUUUUGGUUGUAAAGCACUUUAAGCGAGGAGGAGGCUACUUGGAUUAAUACUCUAGGAUAGUGGACGUUACUCGCAGAAUAAGCACCGGCUAACUCUGUGCCAGCAGCCGCGGUAAUACAGAGGGUGCGAGCGUUAAUCGGAUUUACUGGGCGUAAAGCGUGCGUAGGCGGCUUUUUAAGUCGGAUGUGAAAUCCCUGAGCUUAACUUAGGAAUUGCAUUCGAUACUGGGAAGCUAGAGUAUGGGAGAGGAUGGUAGAAUUCCAGGUGUAGCGGUGAAAUGCGUAGAGAUCUGGAGGAAUACCGAUGGCGAAGGCAGCCAUCUGGCCUAAUACUGACGCUGAGGUACGAAAGCAUGGGGAGCAAACAGGAUUAGAUACCCUGGUAGUCCAUGCCGUAAACGAUGUCUACUAGCCGUUGGGGGCCUUUGAGGCUUUAGUGGCGCAGCUAACGCGAUAAGUAGACCGCCUGGGGAGUACGGUCGCAAGACUAAAACUCAAAUGAAUUGACGGGGGCCCGCACAAGCGGUGGAGCAUGUGGUUUAAUUCGAUGCAACGCGAAGAACCUUACCUGGUCUUGACAUAGUAAGAACUUCCAGAGA